CUUCAAGUUCACCCAAUCCUCACGCAACGUGUAGGCAACAGCUGAUUGAGAGCAUGAAAUGUUUCAAUGCUUCCAGCGUGAGAGAGAGAAACCGUUAGGAGAGAAAAACACCCAACCCGCGCUCUCGUAAACAUCUGUCGGAUAGGUGCUUGCAAUUUAACUUACACGACAAUGUAAACAUUAUUUGCCUGAGUCGGAUAGGACUUUUAAUAUUUUCUACGAUUAUUUACCAUUAUUUUUACGAUUAUUUACCAAAGUAGUGCUAGAAUCUUGUUGUAGGCUGAUAAACUAGAGUUCAGAAUCUGGUGAACUGGUUUUGAGGACAAAUCAGCAACGGCGAGAACAGAGAAACAGAGUCGAUCUCGCUAGCCGGAACGAGGAGCCCAAGAACGAUAACUCUCCAAGCUGGGGACUUCCGGGGACUGGGAACAGCCGUUGGUGUCCUGAAGGCGGUUCGUUGUGGCUUUCCGCAAUGCGUCCAGUGGGUGGAGGACGCCAACCAGCUGAGGAGGGAGGCAUUCGGUGUUAGCCAGCGGCUCAAGCGGUGAAUUGUGCAAGAGAUUGCCAACGGGUACGGAGUUUAUCCGCCGCACUGCAAGAAAAAGUAAACCAUCCUGCCCGAUCCGGUGUUGCUGGACGUGGAGAAGCGCACCCUGGCAAAGCGAACGGCCGAGGGCAAACCAAAGAAAAGGGAGAUUUAAGAUUUUUGCUGUUUCCUGAUUAAUUUUCACGAUAUUUGAUUUGAAUUGAAUUUGAAUUUGAUUUGAAAACACCACUUUUUUAGUUUUCUGUUCUGAUUUUAAAUAAAAAUUUGAAGAUUUUGCUCCAGGUUAAAUAAUGUUUGGCUUCUUGAUUUUUAUUUUUUGAAAAGUGAGAUGAAAUCCUCAAAAAAUAUUUUGAGCUGGGAUAAAUGUCACAGAAAUUUUAAGUUAUUUCAAUCAUUCUGGCUGGACAAGAUUAUUAAAUCUUGCUUUGGUAUGAAAUUCAAUAAAAUAUAAAAAGAUAAAAUACAAGCAAAUCAGCGAUAACUUUUUAGCUAUAUUAGUCGAAUAUCUAAAAAUGCAGUCCAAUAAAUGAAAAUACGCAUGCCCUACAUUUCGUUUCAAAAUAUUUAUGAAGAAGAAUUUUUAUAAGCUUUUUGCACUAGUUUUUGCAUAAUAAUAUAUAAAGAAGCAUAAAAAGUAGUUCUGUAAUUUUAACAUAGGAUUUUGAGGGUUAUUUUAACAUUUUUAACGUUCCGCGAAAUUUGGUGUUUUGAAAUUAGGUUCCCCGUGAAAAUUGAAAUUUUUGAGCGUGAAAAAUUACUAAGCCUACGGAUUAUGUAUCCUGCGAGAAUCGACCUCGGCGGAAGAACGUCCCGGAAGCGGCCGUAGUCGUAGUGGUCGUCGUUGGCCUAGCCAUCAUCGAGGAAGUCGUCACCACGCAGAAACAGCAAUUACGAGACUGCAGUAAACUGCAAUGACGAAGUCGUUGGCGUCGCAAUGGAAACGACUAUCUUGGCCGACGGGGACGAUAUCAGUACGGAGAAGCUGUUUCCGUUGCCACCGGCGUCCGAAAAGUAAGCCCAGCAAUCUCCACCACUACCGCCGAUGCCACCCCUUUCUCUGUUACCAACGACCUGUCCAACGCCCGCGUCGGAACGUUCCCAGCAGCAGCAGAGUUCCAACGUCGCAGUAACCGGUUCCUCCAGCGACGAAUGUCGCUACGCCCGCCAAAUAACAAGGUCUUUCUCAAUUGGUUUUAUGUUCCCUAAUCAUUUCUGUUUUAUCAAGUACCGAGGUAACAAUUUUACAUGUUUUCAAUUUAAUAAAGCAAA